AAGAGAGCCAAGUUGCUUGCUCAGGCUAAGGUUAUGGAAGAAGCAGUCUCUAUUUAUCGAGAAACCAGAAUGGGACACGGAAGUAUUGAAGGUUUUCUUUAGGAGUCCUAUCAAAUGCAUCAUGGACGCUUGUAUCUAAUGUCACUGAGUCAGUAGCACAGACUACAGAUGUAAGCAAUUUAUUUCUGCGUUGUGUGAUCUGAGUUGCACUGAUGGUUUAUUAAAUCGUAAGAACUUAAUCAAAGGAUUUGCUGGUAAACUUAUUGCAACGCAAGUGAUGCAGCAGCAUGUGGAAUUCUUUUUUCUCUAACAAAGCUCUCCCACAAAAAUAUAAAGUAUUUUACGGAUAUGUCUGUGACUAUGUCAAACAAAAUAGGCAUAUAUUAUCAUGUAAUUGUCCAUGUUUGGAAGUUAUGGGUUCAUAUUUGUAAAUUUGAAAUUGCAAACAGAAUGGGUACUUGCAAACACUUCACAAUAGAAAUAGUAGUCGAAAAUGAUUGGUUACUAUAGUGACAAUCGUAGUCAAAUUAAAAACCAAUAACUCAUCAAGUUUUUUAUUUUUAUAAAGAAGUAACUGGAGCAUGUGGCCGUAAUAUAUGCAGUGAUCCCAAUAAUUGAAUUUAGUCAUUUCAUCUUAUAAAAUUAAGAAAGGGACUAAAUUAGCACGUGAAGGAAAUAUAUAAAUAGUUAAUCCCUCUGUACCGAUCAUUUAUAUAUAAAUGGUGGGUAAAGUAGUGGGACUCAUAUAUAUUUAAUGAUAGAUUAUGAGAUAGUGGAAGAAAGUAGCGAGUGUAAUAGUGUUUAUAUUAUUAUAGAAUGAAGAUAGUGUAAGAAAAUAGUAGGUGUAAUAGUAUUUUAUAUUAUUAAAAGUUAUUAUUUUUGGAAUGUAUAGAAAUGAUAGAAUGUCCUAAAAAAAACUGUAUAGAAUUGACUGGGACGGAGGGAGUACCGAUAUUGAUCGUCAAUUGUUGAAUCUAUUCUUGUAUCAGGGAUAGUAGUCUAACGUUCAGAUUGCGUGGAAUAAAGGUUCGAAAGGAUACAGUAGUUUAAGACAGUACUCUUUAAUUCUUAACGUUACAUGAGUUUUUACUAUCGAGAGAUGAGCUGCAUUUGACAUUUAAAUGUAACAAAUUAACAACAAAUUCCACUGAAAUUCAAACUUUUUCGAAUCCCGCAAAGAACCCUAUUGGCAUUUCACAUCAAUGAUUGCCACCUAGAAUGUUACUCCCUCCGUCCCAAUGAAUUGUAUACAGUUUCCUUUUUGGGACGUCCCAUCAAUUGUAUACAUUCCAAAAGUAGUAAACUUUUAUAAUAUAAAAUAUCAUUACACCAACUACUUUCCUCCACUAUCUCAAUUCUAUAAUAAUAUAAACACUAUUACACCCACUACUUUCCUCCACUAUCUCAAAUCUAUUAUUAAAUAUAAAUGGGUCCCACCACUAUACACACUUUUCAUCUAACUUUACUCAUUUCUUACACAUUUUCUUGGUCUCCGUGUCCCAGCCAUUUGUAUACAAAUGACUGGGACGGAGGGAGUACUUUUCUCGAGUCCGGUAGAAAUUCUUUAAAUUAAUACUAGGUAAAUUAAUAAAUUCUCUAAAAUAAUAAAUUUGUCUGGUCCCGACUUAGACCAAUGUAAAAAAUUGAAAAAUUCGAUAAAAUAAUAAGAUAAUAAUUUUUGAAAGAUCCCUUCAUAAUUUUCGGUCUCAAGAAAAUCAUAAAUUAAUAAUUCAUAGAAACUGAAAAAAAUAUAUUACGUUGUAUUGAAAUAUGAGUUGUCUGUUUUCCUUUUAGAUUUCGCAACACCCUUUAGAUGAGAAGCUAUCCUGUGAGAUAUGAUUGAAUACUCUAACAUAUUCAUGUAAUUUUUAUGCCAAACUUGUUUAAAAAUAUAUUGAACAUUUGAACACAUUUAUUCCUCUUAUUUACAUUUCUUGUACAGUACUUUAAAAGUCGUUACUGAUUUCUAAAACAUAUGAACACGAUUGUUACUAAUUUACCAUGAGUGUCAAAAUUCUCUGCAAUGUGAUUUUAAGAGAUAUAGACUAAUUUGCUUUUUUGUUUGGUAUAUUAAUUUAUAUACAAUAUGCCUUUUUGUUUGGUAUAUACAGUAUAAUCAGUUAAAAACUUUUUAAAUUAAUAAUUAUUAAUUUAUCAAUAAAUUAAUAACUCUUUAAAUUAAUAAAUUUUCCCGGUCCCGACAUUAUUAAUUUAUAGAGUUUUUACUGUAUUAAUGCAUAAGUGCAUAAGAUUGCUAUUCCAUCCGUCCCUAUUUAAUCGUUAUAUUUGUGAAAAAAUUUGUCUUUAAAUAAUUGUUUUAUUCUUGUUCCAAAGUAUAUAUAUACAAAUUUUUUCAUAUUUAUCUCUUAAUUGUUAAUUUUACUUUAAUUUUACCACCGAUAUUUUUUUAAUAUGUGUGUUUUUUACAAAUGUGACAAUUAAAAAAAGACGGAGGGAGUAAUAUAUAGUGGCUGUUUGGCGGGGCUUUUAAGCCCCGCUUCUGGACUUUUAAGUUAGAAGCACUUAUUUCGUACCGUUUGUGUAAAAAGUCGAGAAGCACUUAUAAAAAGCUAGGAUUCCUAGCUUUUGUUUCAUGACUUCUGCUUUUUUCCCAAACACUUUAAUCACUUAUAAGUCUUAACUAACUUCUAACUUCUACUUCACUUUUUUAUUUUAAGCAAGAAGCAUUUAUUUUAAGCUCACCCAAACAGCCCCAUAAUGUAAGGAUUAAUGUUAUAUUUCUGUCAUUUACUAUACCAAUAUGUCAAAAUUUCGACGUUGUUAAACAUGUCUUUGCCUUUAAUGAGUAACGGUAGGUUUAACGGAAUUAUUAUACAAAUCAAGGAAGGGAACUAGAGGCUUUAAGGGUCGGAAAGGGAGCCGGAGCCCCGCCGCGGAACACUCGCCGGAGGCAACCUCUGACAGUUGAAAGGGAGAAAUGAAAUGAUGGGGUGUGUACAAGCUUGUGUAAUUGUGUGUUACUGACUGAUGAGAGUGUGUAUGUGUAUUUGCUGUGUGUGCAUGAAGUUUGUGUGGGUAAUGGCGGCGACGUAACGGUUGAGCCGUCGAGGGGUUGAUGGCGAUGGGAAAAUGAGGGAUGGGAAGGAUGGAUGGUGUGAUGGUGAGCGUGUGUAAUAAGAAUUGAUGAGAAGUGCAUAAUUAUGUUAAUAAAAGAAGAAUAAGAUGUAUGAUAAUUGCAUAUUAAAGAUCCAAGUCACAGUAAAUUUAAUAAAAUGUAUAAAAAAAAUAAAUGUAUAGUUAAUACUACUUAAUAAAAUUUUGAAUGAUUCACCGAUGACUAUGCAAAUAUGAGAGUAUCUUGUGCCGCAGGUUAGACAUUCCGAAAGGUUCUGAACAUAGAGUAAAUUUAAUGUUUUUAUUGUUUGUGGAGUUAAAUUACAAGUGUAGUGACUAGUGACUGUCAGAACAUUCUUAUAUGUAUUGCUAAGCAACCAUGGGAUUGUACAAAAGAUCCAAGCUUUUUCUUGAUUUGUUUAAAAAUUACACCUCAAAAAUAACUCCCAGCAGCACCAUUAAACAGUCAAUUCCUAAAAUAAAUCAAUAUGAAUCAUCUUUUUCAAGCGUGAACAACAGUAGAUUAUAUGGGUUUUCUCCAAUUUCAAGGAAUUGGGGGUCUAAUUAUGGGUAUAAAAAGAAAGAAUUGGGCGUUUUGGUUGGGAAAAGAUUUUACUAUGUUGAUAGACAUCAAGUUCGUCACUUUAGGCCAAGAGGGCCUAGAAAUUGGUUCGAGAAUCCAAGAGACAUUUUUAUUGUUAUGGUUUUUGGUGGUGGUGUUGUGUUUACUCUGUAUUUUGGGAAUUUGGAGACGAUACCGUAUACCAAGAGGACACAUUGUGUGCUCUUACCACCGGGCUUGGAGAAGAGGUUGGGUGAUUCGCAGUUUGAGGAGAUAAAGGAACAAUUUAAGGGGAAGAUAUUGCCUGCGAUUCAUCCGGAUAGUGUUCGAGUUAGGUUGAUUGCCAAAGAGAUUAUCGAGGCAUUACAAAGGGGGUUGAUCAGGAAGGAACAGGUGUGGACUGAUGUGGAUUAUAGUACGGCCAAUGUUGGGGUGAGUGAGAGUGGUGGCGAUCAGACUUUGAUGGUGUUAACUGAUGGUGCUGAAGCAAAUUGGAGUAAAGAAGAUGAGGUUCUUGAUGAUAAAUGGGUCCAGCAAAGUAGGAAGAAAGGGGAGGAGAAAGGUGUGAAGCCCUCGAUUUCUCAUUUGGAAGGACUGAACUGGGAAAUAUUGGUUGUGGAUAAACCUGUUGUUAAUGCAUUUUGCCUACCAGGUGGGAAAAUUGUUGUUUUUACGGGAUUGCUAGAAAAAUUUAAGACGAAUGAAGAGAUUGCAACUAUUAUCGGACAUGAGGUAUGAAUGAUAUGCUGUUUUAUAUAAAUACUGUGUAUUGGUUUGGUAUAUUUUGUAGUUUGUUAUGUCUCUCUUUGAAUAGGUUGGUCAUGUUGUUGCGCGACAUUUAGCUGAGGGGAUAACAAAGAACUUUUGGUACUCCAUCAUACAACUGAUUCUUUAUCAGUUUGCUACGCCUGAUAUAGUCAACUCCAUGUCACAUCUUUUGUUAAGACUGCCCUUUUCAAGGAGGUGAGAUAUAUAUUCAUGACUUAACUUGCUUGGCUUUCUUAUUCGUUUGCAUGGUAUGAUGUUGUGCAUAGAAUUCAGAGUAAUGGCUUCUUUUCUAACGGUAUAUAAAUGUUUCAGAACAGUUUUCACUGGUUUUGUUAAUUGCUAAAACAGAUCGCAUAUAUCUCAUUUUAGGAGUAUUGCAUAUAUCGCAUAAAUCUCUUAUAAAGUAGUUUUAUCAGUUCUGAACCCAGCAUAUUGGUUGGGUAGUGUUCUUGUGUAUAUCCAAAUGUUCCGGGACUUGUUUAGAACAUCUUUAAAGCCAUCUGUUAGUGCAACUGCGCAAGUGUUACUUAUACCAAAUUCUAACUAUUGUUCUGAUCAUCUAUAAUGGUUCUUAAAUAGAUGCUUACUCAUAUAUAGUGUAUGUUCGAUUGCAUAAUCAUUUUUUAUUUUAGGAUGGAGAUGGAAGCGGAUUACAUAGGGCUAUUACUACUUGCUUCUGCUAGAUAUGAUCCUAGCGUUGCACCUAAGGUUUAUGAGAAGUUGGGCAAAAUUACCGGGUCAUCGGCCAUGUUAGACUAUCUUUCUACACAUCCCUCUGGGAAAAAGAGAGCCAAGUUGCUUGCUCAGGCUAAGGUUAUGGAAGAAGCAGUCUCUAUAUAUCGAGAAACCCGAAUGGGGCACGGAAGUAUUGAAGGUUUUCUUUAGGAGUACUAUCAAAUGCAUCAUGGAUGCUUGCAUCUAAUGUCACUGAUGAGUCAGUAGCACAGACUACAGAUGUAAACAAUUUAUUUCUGUGUUGUGUGAUCUGAGUUGCACUGAUGGUUUAUUUAAUCGUAAGAACUUAAUCAAAGGAUUUGCUGGUAAACUAGCAUAUUGCGAAGCAAGUGAUGUAGCAGACAAUGCUCUCCAACAAAAAUAUAAAAUAUUUUACGGAUAUGUCAAUGCGACUAUGUCAAACAAAAUAGGCAUAUAUGAACAUAUAAUUGUCCAUGUUUGAAAAUUAUGGGUUAGUAUUUGUAAAUUUGAAAUUG
rnacentral:lncRNA from 1 species